rnacentral:rRNA from 1 species
UUUUUCCUACGGGGGGCAGCAGUCGGGAAUAUUGCACAAUGGAGGAAACUCUGAUGCAGUGACACCUCGUAUAGGAAGAAGGUUUUCGGAUUGUAAACUAUUUUAGACAGGGAAGAAAAAAGACCGUACCUGUAGAAUCAGCUCCGGCUAACUACGUGCCAGCAGCCGCGGUAAUACGUAGGGAGCAAGCGUUAUCCGGAAUUAUUGGGUGUAAAGGGUGCGUAGACGGGACAGCCCGUUAGUUGUGA